rnacentral:ncRNA from 2 species
AACUGAGGUAGAGGUGCAGAAUUUAAGAGUAGAGUUGAGGAGUUAAGCACUAUGAUACAACUUGAAAGGAAAUUUUGCCGAAGUUAUUUAGCAGAUGCUUUAAUGCUAAAUAAUUGGGUUUACAUAAAAUAUAUGUAAAACUGUCACAAGGUUAAUUUGUGGAGAGCUAUCAUUCGU